rnacentral:lncRNA from 1 species
AAAAAUAUGGAUAGGCUCGGAAUUCAAGGGUGAGCAAACUGUCCUGAAGAAAUUCUGGCCGGCAAAGGUUGCCGGAAAAAAUCAAAGUUGUUGGAAUCGAACAAAAAAUGGAUGGGUAGGGUCGGAAUUAUAUUUCGACUAAACUGUCCUUCUGGAGCGAUCAGAAAAAGUGGCCGGAAAGGCCCUCACGCGCCGGCGCGUGGGCGUCACGCGCCGAGGGUCCUGCCGCGCGUGGGGGCGCGUGAAGCGUCGGUUUUCGGUGAUUUUUUCUGGGGUUGGUCGGAAUUCUCUCCCGAACCUCGUGGUGGUCUCGGAUUUUGCACAACACCAACAGAAAAGGUAGUUUAGGUUACGGNNNN